rnacentral:sRNA from 1 species
AUUUAUCCACAGGACAGGUAUAGUACAAGCAGUAGCAAUAAAAGUUCCCCUACCCUGCUCUUUCAUGCUUUAUGCUUGACCUAAAAAGGGACCACCAAGAAGUAAA